rnacentral:rRNA from 1 species
UUUUAGAACACGAAGUGGUUGAUGCCAUGCUUCCAAGAAAAGCUUCUAAGCUUCAGGUAACCAGGAACCGUACCCCAAACCGACACAGGUGGUUGGGUAGAGAAUACCAAGGCGCUUGAGAGAACUCGGGUGAAGGAACUAGGCAAAAUGGCACCGUAACUUCGGGAGAAGGUGCGCCGGUGAGGGUGAAGGACUUGCUCCGUAAGCUCAUGCCGGUCGAAGAUACCAGGCCGCUGCGACUGUUUAUUAAAAACACAGCACUCUGCAAACACGAAAGUGGACGUAUAGGGUGUGACGCCUGCCCGGUGCCGGAAGGUUAAUUGAUGGGGUUAGCUAACGCGAAGCUCUUGAUCGAAGCCCCGGUAAACGGCGGCCGUAACUAUAACGGUCCUAAGGUAGCGAAAUUCCUUGUCGGGUAAGUUCCGACCUGCACGAAUGGCGUAACGAUGGCGGCGCUGUCUCCACCCGAGACUCAGUGAAAUUGAAAUCGCUGUGAAGAUGCAGUGUAUCCGCGGCUAGACGGAAAGACCCCGUGAACCUUUACUAUAGCUUUGCACUGGACUUUGAAUUUGCUUGUGUAGGAUAGGUGGGAGGCUUUGAAGCGUGGACGCCAGUCUGCGUGGAGCCAACCUUGAAAUACCACCCUGGCAACUUUGAGGUUCUAACUCAGGUCCGUUAUCCGGAUCGAGGACAGUGUAUGGUGGGUAGUUUGACUGGGGCGGUCUCCUCCUAAAGAGUAACGGAGGAGUACGAAGGUGCGCUCAGACCGGUCGGAAAUCGGUCGUAGAGUAUAAAGGCAAAAGCGCGCUUGACUGCGAGACAGACACGUCGAGCAGGUACGAAAGUAGGUCUUAGUGAUCCGGUGGUUCUGUAUGGAAGGGCCAUCGCUCAACGGAUAAAAGGUACUCCGGGGAUAACAGGCUGAUACCGCCCAAGAGUUCAUAUCGACGGCGGUGUUUGGCACCUCGAUGUCGGCUCAUCACAUCCUGGGGCUGAAGCCGGUCCCAAGGGUAUGGCUGUUCGCCAUUUAAAGUGGUACGCGAGCUGGGUUUAGAACGUCGUGAGACAGUUCGGUCCCUAUCUGCCGUGGACGUUUGAGAUUUGAGAGGGGCUGCUCCUAGUACGAGAGGACCGGAGUGGACGAACCUCUGGUGUUCCGGUUGUCACGCCAGUGGCAUUGCCGGGUAGCUAUGUUCGGAAAAGAUAACCGCUGAAAGCAUCUAAGCGGGAAACUUGCCUCAAGAUGAGAUCUCACUGGAACCUUGAGUUCCCUGAAGGGCCGUCGAAGACUACGACGUUGAUAGGUUGGGUGUGUAAGCGCUGUGAGGCGUUGAGCUAACCAAUACUAAUUGCCCGUGAGGCUUGACCAUAUAACACCCAAGCAAUCUGCAGAAA